UGAGUGUCAGACUGGCUGCGAUAUUACCCAGCUCCACCAUUUACCAAGUUACCCAAAUUAUUUUCUGUCUCAAGCUCUAUGUCUGUUAUAUGGGUGUAAUAAUAGCAGCUUACAGAGUUGUGAGGAUUAAGCAAACAGGGAAACAAAAUUUAGUAUAGUGGCCAGCUUAUGUUAUUACCUAAGAAAUAGCCUUGCAGGUAGAGAGCAAAAUUCAAAUCAGUUUCUAAAGUAUGUGUAAAAUAUGAUCCAGUUCCUGCCUGGUUUGUAAACACGUAUGCCUACUGCAGAAUGUAAAAGCAGGCUAAUUUCCAACAGAAAAGAUCAUUUCUCAGCAUUUCUUUCAAAGGUAGUUGCAAAAUAAUUUUUACUAAAUUUUCUGUGCCCAUCUCUGACAGAGCUUUGACACCAGGGAGGUAAUUAUCUACAUUUUUGUUAAAAUGAUGCUGACCAUCAGGAAGUGUUCCGAAUUAUAUUUUAGCCUUUAUGUUGGGAAAUAUUGUGAAACUUCUUCUAAAUUAAUGGAGGAGGGGCAUUCAUUGUAGCUCUUGUAGCCUGAUAAGGCUUCUCUAAAUUAUCUUUUUUUAAAUUUUAAUUAAAGUAAUUAAUUAAUUUUUUGCAGGGGGUGGUAAUUAGGUUUUUAUUUAUUUUAUUUUUAUAAGAAGUUCUGGGGAUUGAACCCAGGCCCUUGUGCAUGCUAAGAAUAUGAUCUUUCACUUGAGCUAUACCCCCCUAAAUUAUCUUUAAUAAGGUCUUUUUCUCUGUUUUGUUAUUUUCUUUUAUGUACAGAUGCACAAAGCAGGGUCAUCAGAAGCCUCUCAAUUCCAAAGAUGAUUAUAGUGAAAAACAUUGCACAGUGACAGUGAAUCCUUGGAAUAUGAAGAAAGAUUGUAAAGUCCUGAAUGAAUUAAGAAGGAAUUGUUACAUUAACUUACAUAGAAAACUUGAGCCUAUGAAUCUAAACUCAUCUGUGAUGGCCUGCAGCUGGGAGCAAGCAGAUCAGUGUCAGUCCCUUUGCAGCCGUUGGCUGGGAGCCUGCAUGUUCCCUGGAAUGAUAUUUGAAACAUGUCACCCUAGCCGUGCCUUCGCUCUGGACUGGGAGGCGAGUCAGUCAGAAUCUGCAUUAUGGAAUGUUUUGGAUGACAAGCUUGUAUUUGCAAAUGUACACACCCUGUGGGAGGUGCUCUGUACAUACGCUGAGAUACUGUACAUAAAAUUGCCUCUGAAUCCCAAUCAUCUGAAAACCGUGUCCUCAGCCUUUGAUACCUUCAGCUGUUUUAUGAAAGUCCUCCAAGUGGAUGAAAGUAUCAACAACCGGAACAAGAGUUUUUCAUUGCCCUAUUUGAGAAGAGCUGCGUGAACGACUUUUAUAUUCAGGAUAGAGAUACAUUCAUCAAUCCAAACACCAGGAGCCGCACUGUAAGUCUAAACCGAGUUUAGCUGCUGUCUUGGGGGUGAUUUAGAAC